CUUUUGUCGGGAUUCUCUGGUGUUCCGAAUGAAGCGUUUACGGCCUCUAGCUCGUUUUCAGGACAAGAUGAUUUUAGUCCUGAUAAUGCACGGCUGUAUUAUGAAAGACAUAACCCCCAAAGCUCUUCAGGAUGGUGUUCGGAUACCAUAGACGCAAACUCAUACAUACAAGUAGAACUAGAAACGGAGGCGACCGUAGAUUCCGUAUUACUACAGGGCCGUGGUGACUAUGGACAAUGGGUAAAGGAGUUUUACUUAGAGUACAGUACAGACAAUGUUUCCUGGACAACUGUGCUGGCGUCGAACAGUCAACCUAAGUUGUUUACCGGGAAUACUGACACAAACACCGUUGUUAAAAGUGACGUCAGUCCCCCCAUCACAGCCAAGUACUUCCGGAUCAACGCUAGGUCAUGGGUGAGUCGACCGUGUCUGAGAUUCGACCUUGGUGGAUGCAAACAUCUAA